rnacentral:rRNA from 1 species
ACAGCAGUCGCCGCGGGAAUACGUAGGGUGCAAGCGUUGUCCGGAAUUAUUGGGCGUAAAGAGCUCGUAGGCGGUUUGUCGCGUCUGCUGUGAAAUCCCGAGGCUCAACCUCGGGCUUGCAGUGGGUACGGGCAGACUAGAGUGCGGUAGGGGAGAUUGGAAUUCCUGGUGUAGCGGUGGAAUGCGCAGAUAUCAGGAGGAACACCGAUGGCGAAGGCAGAUCUCUGGGCCGUAACUGACGCUGAGGAGCGAAAGCGUGGGGAGCGAACAGGAUUAGAUACCCCGGUAGUCCCUGUCUCUUAUAC